rnacentral:lncRNA from 1 species
UAUAAAAACAAACAUGUUAUUCAGAUAUUUAUAUUCAUACCCAUUCAAACUUUAAAAAAAUUCAAAAUCAUUCAAAUUUCAAACAAAAAAAUAAAAUUAAAUACUACCUUAGUGUGGCCCAUCUUUGAUUGGAAGAAAUGAUAGAAGGGGAUAGGAAUAGAAAGGAAAGAGGGAAAGAGAAAAUGAGUUAAAAAAAUGAUUAAUCUCAUUUUUAUUGAUUGCUUGGACAUUAAAUUUAUUUUUUCCUCUUAUUUUUUUUAAUUAAAAGAGAAAGAACUAAAAACCAAAAUUUGACAUAUAAGUGAAAAGGAAUUUUUUUUUGAAUAAUAUGAGACUAAUGCUCAAAUUACAACUCAUAUUUUAUGAGAUUUACAACUGAUAUUUACACUCAGAUAAUUAUUGAGACUAAUUUACAUUAAUUCUUAUGUAGCACUGCCCAUAUUUUAUCCCUCUUUAAUAUUCAAGGGGUGUCUACUCUACUCACAUUUCGAAAGAAAGAAGACAUAAAUGCCCACCAAAAGACCACAUCGUAAAAAACAAAUAAUUAGAAGAAAGACAACCUAACUGAAAACAGCUUAGUUGCAUGGUUUGUUUGUAAUAGAACUAUGACUCGUCUCUAUAAGUAUCUACAACCAUGCACGCACAGAGAGUGAGAGAUCGAAAAGAUUUUGUUUGAUACCUCGUUUGGUGGUUGGCAUUUAGUUUCAAAUUGACGGGGCGACUUUUGUAGAGUAGAAUGGAAUAAGAAAUUGAGUGGCCACUGGCAAUUGGCAAAAGCAGAAGAAAAAAAAAAAAAAAAGAAGAGGAGGAUGUGUUUUCCCACCAGGGGCGGACCCAGGAAUUUGUAUUACCCCGGGCUAAAUUAAAAAAUUUAUAUUUUAAAGUGAGCAUAAAAAUUUAUAAGUAGAAAAAAUUGCAUCAAAUAAGGGGGGCACGAAAAAUCUUAUCGCUAUAAGUUAUAAACAAAAAUAGUUAUAUAAAAAGAGUAGAAAACA